GGAGAGGUGGAUGAGCGGUUUANNAAGUCGCACGCCUGGAAAGCGUGUGUGGGUUAAUAGCCCACCGCGGGUUCGAAUCCCGCCCUCUCCGCCA
rnacentral:tRNA from 1 species